rnacentral:rRNA from 1 species
GAUGAACGCUGGCGGCGUGCUUAACACAUGCAAGUCGAACGAAGCAUUUAAGACAGAUUACUUCGGUUUGAAGUCUUUUAUGACUGAGUGGCGGACGGGUGAGUAACGCGUGGGUAACCUGCCUCAUACAGGGGGAUAGCAGCUGGAAAAGGCUGGUAAUACCGCAUAAGCGCACAGUACCACAUGGUACAGUGUGAAAAAAUCUGGUGGUAUGAGAUGGACCCGCGUCUGAUUAGCUUGUUGGCGGGGUAACGGCCCACCAAGGCGACGAUCAGUAGCCGACCUGAGAGGGUGACCAGCCACAUUGGGACUGAGACACGGCCCAGACUCCUACGGGAGGCAGCAGUGGGGAAUAUUGCACAAUGGAGGAAACUCUGAUCCAGCGACGCCGCGUGAGUGAAGAAGUCGUUCGCUUUGUAAAGCUCUAUCAGCAGGGAAGAUAGUGACGGUACCUGACUAAGAAGCUCCGGCUAAAUCCGUG